AUGGCUGCAUCUUUCAUUAGAAGGUCGCGCCUAAGGUGGGUUAGCCAGCUAAUUGAUCAGGAAACAAAGGAGUGGAAAGUCGAUCUGGUAAAACAAAUAUUUCAUGAUUUUGAUGCAGAUGUUAUUUGCAAUCUGAGAAUCCCGAGAGCCGAGGUGGAGGACUGUGUGGCAUGGCACUAUGAGAAAAACGGGAUAUUCACGGUUAAGAGUGCAUACAAGCUUGCAGACUCGCUGAAAAGGAAUACCACGGUUGUGGCAACCAGCUCCUCAAGAGAUCCGGGAGAUAGAAGCAUCUGGGAUGUUAUUUGGAAAACAAAAAUCCCGGAUAAGGUAAAGAUUUUUGGAUGGCGUGUGGCAACCAAUUCUUUAGCCACCAAGCAUAACGCUUUCAAGAGGACUAUUGUUGUGGAUGAUGUCUGUGAGAUAUGUGGUGCGGAGCAGGAAGAUGAAUUUCAUGCUAUUAUAAGAUGCACUCGAAGUGCUGCGCUGAGGCAUGCAAUGAAGGCCUUUUGGGUUCUGCCAAGGGAUUCUGAAUUUAGGUACACAGGCCCAGACUGGCUGCAGAUGCUCCUAUAUGCCAAACCUGAGGAAGUAAGAGGGAAAAUCUUGCUGAUCCUGUGGCAAGCGUGGAGUCUGAGGAAUAAUGUGAUCCAUGGAGAUGGGAGGGAUACU
rnacentral:rRNA from 1 species